rnacentral:rRNA from 1 species
CCUACGGGGGGCAGCAGUGGGGAAUAUUGCACAAUGGGGGAAACCCUGAUGCAGCGACGCCGCGUGAGUGAAGAAGUAUUUCGGUAUGUAAAGCUCUAUCAGCAGGGAAGAAAAUUACGGUACCUGACUAAGACGCCCCGGCUAACUACGUGCCAGCAGCCGCGGUCAUACGUAGGGGGCAAGCGUUAUCCGGAUUUGCUGGGUGUAAAGGGAGCGUAGACGGCAAGACAAGUCAGAAGUGAAAGCCCAGGGCUCAACCCUGGGACUGCUUUUGAAACUGCCGGGCUGGAGUGUAGGAGAGGUAAGCGGAAUUCCUAGUGUAGCGGUGAAAUGCGUAGAUAUUAGGAGGAACACCAGUGGCGAAGGCGGCUUACUGGACUGUAACUGACGUUGAGGCUCGAAAGCGUGGGGAGCAAACAGGAUUAGAUACCCCAGUAGUC